rnacentral:rRNA from 1 species
GGCGAAACCGCGAAUGGCUCAUUAAAUCAGUUAUGGUUCCUUGGAUCGUACCCUACUACUUGGAUAACUGUGGUAAUUCUAGAGCUAAUACAUGCACAGAGCUCCGACCUCCGGGGACGAGCGCUUUUAUUAGACCAAAACCAAUGGGGCCUUGUGCCCGUAUCUUGUGGUGACUCUGAAUAACUUUGGGCUGAUCGCACGGGCCAGUCCCGGCGACGUAUCUUUCAAGUGUCUGCCUUAUCAACUUUCGAUGGUAGGUUACGCGCCUACCAUGGUCGUAACGGGUGACGGGGAAUCAGGGUUCGAUUCCGGAGAGGGAGCCUGAGAAACGGCUACCACAUCCAAGGAAGGCAGCAGGCACGCAAAUUACCCACUCCCGGCACGGGGAGGUAGUGACGAAAAAUAACAAUACGGGACUCUUAUGAGACCCCGUAAUUGGAAUGAGUACACUCUAAAGCCUUUAACGAGGAUCCAUUCGAGGGCAAGUCUGGUGCCAGCCGCCGCGGUAAUCCCAGCUCGAAUAGCGUAUAUUAAAGUUGUUGCGGUUAAAAAGCUCGUAGUUGGAUCUCAGUUCCAGACGGGCGGUCCGCCUACCGGUGGUCACUGCCCCGUUCUGAACAGCCCGCCGGUUUCCCUUGAUGAUCUUCACCGGUUGUCUUGGGUGACCGGCAAGUUUACUUUGAAAAAAUUAGAGUGCUCAAAGCAGGCGUGACGCCUGAAUAAUGGUGCAUGGAAUAAUGGAAUAGGACCUCGGUUCUAUUUUGUUGGUUUUUCUGAACACGAGGUAAUGAUUAAGAGGGACAGACGGGGGCAUUCGUACUGCGACGCUAGAG